rnacentral:lncRNA from 1 species
AUUUUAUCUGAACUGGAAGGAGCUAAAAGUGAACUAGGAAUACCUGAUGGGGAUGCUGUGCUGUGGACUUUCUGGAGUCUGGGGACUCAUAACCAUCGUAUCCUUACACCCAUGAAAAGAGCUAAAGAGAUACUCUCUGGUUGAUCUCAGACCCCAUGGAGGCAUAUCAUGUGAUUAAGAAGAGAACAACUCUGCCCAAUCAGUAUGUUUAAGCUAGAGAAGAAAGAAGAAAAGAAAGAAGCAAGAGAGAAAGAAAGAAAGAAAGAGUAAGAAAGAAAGAAAGAGAAAAAAGAAAGAAGGAAAGAAAGGAAGAAAGGAAGGAAGGAAAGAAAGAAAGAACAACAGAAGAAAAUAAGAGAGAGAAAGAGGAAGAUAAAGAAUGAAAGAAGAAAGAAUGAGUGAGAGAAAAAAAUAGAGAAGAAGAGAAAACUAAAGAAGGAAGAGAGAAAGAGAGAGGAAGAAAGAGAAAGAACAAGAGAAGAAAGAAAGAGACGACAGAAAGAAAGAGAAAAAGAAAGAAAAAGAGAAAGAAAAGCUUUUUUGACAGCAAGGGUGGGAACAUCUGGUAUCCUCUGAGCAUACGCUCCUCAUCUCCAGUAGCUUCCAGCCCUCAAGUGACUCCUGAUUGCAAAUAACAAAAUCAUCUCUAAAGAGCAGCUCCAGGACCCUGGAGCAAGUUUCAGUUCUAAAGGCCCCUGCAUUGGGCAGUCACCUGCACUUCUCAUGGCGUGGGACAGAAAGGACUCAUGCUCGGAGCUGGCACGUCCCUCCCUCUGGUCCUACAUCUCAGCCAGGGGAUCUAAAACUCUCAGAGUAUGUUUAGUGCUGGAAGGCCUGAGCAGACUGGCCCAGGACUCUUCAUUUCCACAAGGAGAAGGGGCAAGGUACAGAUGUGGAUAUAGAAUCAGAUCAGAAUUUUCUUGGCAGUUUCAGGAAUUCUGA